rnacentral:rRNA from 1 species
UAGAGUUUGAUCCUGGCUCAGGAUGAACGCUGGCGAGAUGCUUUACACAUGCAAGUCGUACGAGAGUUUUUAACUCUAGUGGCGGACGGGUGAGUAACACGUGAGAAUUUGCCUUUAGGAGGGGGAUAACAAUUGGAAACGAAUGCUAAUACCCCAUAUGCUUUCGAGUGAAAUGGAUUUAUAUUUAUCCGCCUAGAGAGAAGCUCGCGGCUGAUUAGCUUGUUGGUAAGGUAAGAGCUUACCAAGGCGACGAUCAGUAUCUGGUUUGAGAGGACGAUCAGACACACUGGAACUGAGACACGGUCCAGACUCCUACGGGAGGCAGCAGUGGGGAACUUUCCGCAAUGGGCGAAAGCCUGACGGAGCAAUACAGCGUGAGGGAAGACUGCCUAUGGGUUGUAAACCUCUUUUUUCAGGGAGGAAUAAAUGACGUGUACCUGAAGAAUAAGCAUCGGCUAACUCCGUGCCAGCAGCCGCGGUAAGACGGAGGAUGCAAGUGUUAUCCGGAAUCACUGGGCGUAAAGCGUCUGUAGGUGGUUUAAUAAGUCAACUGUUAAAUCUUGAGGCUCAACUUCAAAAUCGCAGUCGAAACUAUUAGACUAGAGUAUAGUAGAGGUAAAGGGAAUUUCCAGUGGAGCGGUGAAAUGCGUAGAUAUUGGAAAGAACACCGAUGGCGAAAGCACUUUACUGGGCUAUUACUAACACUC